GAUGAACGCUGGCGGCGUGCCUAAUACAUGCAAGUCGAGCGAACGGAUGAGGAGCUUGCUCCUCUGACGUUAGCGGCGGACGGGUGAGUAACACGUGGAUAACCUACCUAUAAGACUGGGAUAAUUUCGGGAAACCGGAGCUAAUACCGGAUAAUAUUUUGAACCGCAUGGUUCAAUAGUGAAAGACGGUUUUGCUGUCACUUAUAGAUGGAUCCGCGCCGCAUUAGCUAGUUGGUAAGGUAACGGCUUACCAAGGCAACGAUGCGUAGCCGACCUGAGAGGGUGAUCGGCCACACUGGAACUGAGACACGGUCCAGACUCCUACGGGAGGCAGCAGUAGGGAAUCUUCCGCAAUGGGCGAAAGCCUGACGGAGCAACGCCGCGUGAGUGAUGAAGGUCUUCGGAUCGUAAAACUCUGUUAUUAGGGAAGAACAAAUGUGUAAGUAACUAUGCACGUCUUGACGGUACCUAAUCAGAAAGCCACGGCUAACUACGUG
rnacentral:rRNA from 1 species